AUUGAACGCUGGCGGCAUGCUUUACACAUGCAAGUCGAACGGCAGCGCGGGCUUCGGCCUGGCGUCGAGUGGCGAACGGGUGAGUAAUACAUCGGAACGUGCCCAGCAGUGGGGGAUAGCCCGGCGAAAGCCGGAUUAAUACCGCAAACGACCAGAGGGUGAAAGCGGGGGAUCUUCGGACCUCGCGCUAUUGGAGCGGCCGAUGGCGGAUUAGCUAGUUGGUGGGGUAAAGGCCUACCAAGGCGACGAUCCGUAGCUGGUCUGAGAGGACGACCAGCCACACUGGAACUGAGACACGGCCCAGACUCCUACGGGAGGCAGCAGUGGGGAAUUUUGGACAAUGGGCGAAAGCCUGAUCCAGCAAUGCCGCGUGUGUGAUGAAGGCCUUCGGGUUGUAAAGCACUUUUGGCGGGAACGAAAAGGACUGUGCCAAUACCACGGUUCGAUGACGGUACCCGCAGAAUAAGCACCGGCUAACUACGUG
rnacentral:rRNA from 1 species